CCUACGGGCGGCAGCAGUGGGGAAUAUUGGACAAUGGGGGCAACCCUGAUCCAGCCAUGCCGCGUGUGUGAAGAAGGCCCUCGGGUUGUAAAGCACUUUCAGUGAGGAAGAACGCCUGGUGGUUAAUACCCAUCAGGAAAGACAUCACUCACAGAAGAAGCACCGGCUAACUCCGUGCCAGCAGCCGCGGUAAUACGGAGGGUGCGAGCGUUAAUCGGAAUUACUGGGCGUAAAGCGCGCGUAGGUGGCUUGAUAAGCCGGUUGUGAAAGCCCCGGGCUCAACCUGGGAACGGCAUCCGGAACUGUCAAGCUAGAGUGCAGGAGAGGAAGGUAGAAUUCCCGGUGUAGCGGUGAAAUGCGUAGAGAUCGGGAGGAAUACCAGUGGCGAAGGCGGCCUUCUGGACUGACACUGACACUGAGGUGCGAAAGCGUGGGUAGCAAACAAGAUUAGAUACCCCUGUAGUC
rnacentral:rRNA from 1 species